CCUACGGGUGGCAGCAGUGAGGAAUAUUGGUCAAUGGACGAGAGUCUGAACCAGCCAAGUAGCGUGAAGGAUGACUGCCCUAUGGGUUGUAAACUUCUUUUAUAUGGGAAUAAAACGUUCCACGUGUGGGAUUUUGUAUGUACCAUAUGAAUAAGGAUCGGCUAACUCCGUGCCAGCAGCCGCGGUAAUACGGGGGAUCCGAGCGUUAUCCGGAUUUAUUGGGUUUAAAGGGAGCGUAGGUGGAUUGUUAAGUCAGUUGUGAAAGUUUGCGGCUCAACCGUAAAAUUGCAGUUGAAACUGGCAGUCGUGAGUACAGUAGAGGUGGGCGGAAUUCGUGGUGUAGCGGUGAAAUGCUUAGAUAUCACGAAGAACUCCGAUUGCGAAGGCAGCUCACUGGACUGCAACUGACACUGAGGCUCGAAAGUGUGGGUAUCAAACAGGAUUAGAUACCCCAGUAGUC
rnacentral:rRNA from 1 species